GGGUUUGUUUGUGUCGGAUGUCGUGUUCUAUUAAUGCCAGAGCGCCGCCUUACGCAGAAAUUGUGUUGUGUAUAACCAGUGUUACUUCAGUGGAACGCAUUGCUUGCUUAGAUCAAGACUAUAGUCUCUUGUUUCAAUUUAUUGUACUACCAUCAAAAUGGAAACGGAAAUCAUACAACCUGUUGCUGCAUUAUCUAAUGUGAAUGCUUCACUUGGAUUGAUUCCCAAUAAACGUCCCAUUUGUGUCAUUGUUCUUGGCAUGGCUGGUUCGGGUAAAACAACUUUUGUGAAGAAGUUAGCGCAAUACCGCCAUGCAAAUGGCUCAUUGCCCUACUUAAUUAAUUUAGAUCCUGCGUGCCACGAAACUCCCUAUCCAGUAAACAUUGAUAUCCGUGAUACGAUAAAAUACAAGGAAGUUAUGAAACGCUACAAUCUUGGUCCAAAUGGAGGAAUAGUUACAGCUUUAAACUUGUUUUCCACUAAAUUUGGAAAAGUGAUUGAUCUGAUUGAAAAUGCACAGAAAACGCAUGAAUAUUGUGUUAUAGACACCCCGGGACAAAUAGAAGUAUUUACAUGGUCGGCAUCUGGCACAAUAAUUACUGAGGCGUUAGCUACUGCAUUUCCUACUGUUAUUGUAUACGUAAUGGAUAUCGUCCGUUCAACUAGUCCAACCACCUUUAUGUCUAAUAUGUUAUAUGCGUGUUCUAUCUUGUACAAAGCACGUUUACCUUUCGUUAUUGCAAUGAACAAAAUCGACAUACAGGAACAUAAUUUCGCGAUGCAGUGGAUGCAAGAUUUUGAAGCGUUUCAAGAAUCAUUGGAAAACGAGACUGCUUACAUAAGUAAUCUUACACGUACGAUGUCUUUGACACUCGACGAGUUUUAUAAAAACUUAAAAUCGUGUGGAGUUUCCUCAAAGACGGGCAUAGGAUUUGAAAAUUUGUUCAUGCUACUAAACGAAGCUGUCGAUGAAUAUGACAGUGAUUAUAAACAAGAGUAUAAUAAAUUACGAGCAGAACGGGUAAACAAUUCAGCAGAGCAUUUUACACAACCUCCAAACGGCGACUUGGGUGAAGAAGUGUCUUUUCGAAGCUAUAACAAUGAGAAAAAUCUAUGUAAUGAACCGGUUUAUUUAAAACAUCCUGCAAAUGAAAGUUCCGAUGAUGAAGAAGGACAAGAAUGUGAAGGUUCAAUCAUAACUACGGUGUUUCCAUUCUCCGAGGUAUAGUGAUUGAAUCAUUGAGGCAUUCAGAUCAAAAGACAUGAUUGUUUUCUUCUACACACGUGUUGAAAGUGUAUCAAUAAUAAUCAAAUUAUUCCCAGUGAUUCUAAAUAAUUCUGUGGUAGAGGUUCUACCCCGUUCCAUCCAUUUUAUCAUGCGUAGUAGUAUUUUAUUGUGUAGUUCAAAACAUUUAAAUAAAAAGACAUACUUCAAACUAUCGUGUACUUGCUUCGAACCAUCGUCCAAGUGCAGUUAAUUGCUGGCUUGAAAGAAUUGCAAAAUUGUACGCUAUGGACGAUGAACAAUUACAAUUUUUCAUUGUACAUUAACUCAAAAAUGCGUGAUACAAUGCAAUAUAGUGAAACAAAAGGAGCUGCAUAACUAGGACUAAGUGAACAACUUUAAAACAUGCAUAUAACAGGUUCAUAUUUCCCAUGGAUCGAGCCUCCAUACGCAGAUUGUUGGAUAAGGCUCAGUACGAGUUGUGUUAAACAUUUGAAAAAAAAAUUGAAUAAUUGAAUUUUAAUAUUUAUUCAUCCAUUGAAAGUAUAUCUUGCGGGAAAAAUAAUUGUAUGGUUCAGCAGUGGCAUUACAACUAAACUGUACUGUAAAACUGAAAUGAACUGCAACUCCUAUUGGGAAAAGUAAUGUGAUAAUAAUAUACACGGAAUAAGGAUAUUCCUGGGUCAGGGGUUCUUUUUUAUAUGAGCACAUGAUGAAGCUACAAAGUUAAAUGAAGUUAGUUUAAUUGUUUUUAUUAGCAUUUAGCACUCCUGAAUAUCCAUGGUUGCUUGGUACACAAAUAAUCUUGCAGAAGAUGGGGCACGGGUCAAUAAUAAGCCGUGACAGUGAGCCCUGUGGAUGGAAGACUCGGACCCAUAUGUCAUAUGAACAUGUCAUGACAUUUAGUAGUAGCUAUUCCAUAAGUUCAGAAUGACUAAAUUAAAUUUUCGUAUGUCCUAUAUGGUUGUGAAAAUGGUCAAUGAUAGCGGAAUAGUCAAACAUCUUCUUCUUUGCCACAACAACCGUUGUCGGCCAAGGCCUGCCUGCGCCACACCGGGGCUUGGUUUUUAGUGACUUUUUGAUAAACCAUAGCAGGAUAAUAGUCAGUCAUACUGGAAGUUGAACCCAUGAUUGACAUGUUGUUAAGUCGUUCGAGUUGACGACUGUUCCACGAGUCCAGCCGAUAGUCAAACAUACUGAAAAAGAAAGUGGACCACGAUUGCUAAUGUAAUGGAAACACUAACAUUUGUAAAUAAGACACAAAUAUGGAAGGGCUAUAAACCGGAAUCAGAAGAGGAUAGAAGCCUGUACCAAAAUAGCAACACGGUCAUAAAAAGUAUCAGUAAAUAGACAUCAAAAGAGAGCAGGAUUGCUUAUCUAUAUAGUUAUAUGCGUGGAACACAAAUACAGGUGCGACAUCACUGCAACAGCCUCGCACCCAUGCCGAUACGAUAGGAGCCAAUCCCGUCGCGUCAGAUCGGUAUCAUCAUCCAAGCGAUAAGCACGCAAUAAUCAUUUUGAAUAAAAGCUGUGGUUCCAUACUCAUAACUGGCGCAGCCGUUCCGGCCUUUCCUAAGUGUGUUUUAGUUUACCGAGUGAUAAGUGCAGAAACCUGCGAUUUACUUUGUGGUAUCAUCCGGUGUAAACCAUCUCCCGACCCGUGGACGACUUGCGGUGAUAUUCAGUGUUGUGUCGUGUCAAAAUUCAAGUGUUUAGUAUGCUACAAAUCGCACUGCUACCUGCUCCCGCGGUGCCAUAAUUAUAACUGCUAAAACUAGGGGCGAAAAAACUGCUUAGGCUCGUAAACUCUUGUGCGAGCCCACGCGUGCCCUCAAAAAUCGCUGUCAAUUGCAUGGCGGGAUGCAUGAACAAAAACAGACAUGCUUUCAACGAGCGUCGUCGUAAGUCGUUUAAACAGAAAAAAGAAACAAAUUUCAUUUCAGAUUCCUUGCGCGUUAUCACACUAAACACAAUAAUACUAAUGUCAUAUAACUCGCUGGAAUCGAUUUUAACAGCACCAUUAGUACUUUUACGUUUGGUAGAUGGAAUUGGCAUUCGGCUGUCAUAAUCGAUUCUAGCGAGCUUUCUGACUUAACUAUUCUCUCUAGUGUAAUUACGUGCAGGAAAUCGUGCCAUUUAGGGUUGAUCCAUUUCUGAUUGAACGACUCAAAUUGUAGCUUAUGACAAACGUGCUUUGACCUACCAAUCCCGAUUCCAUCUACCAGGCUUAAUGGCACUUGAUAUUUGCAGUUUUAUACUCACCGCGCUAUUUGCCAAUAUAUGCCAGUCGUGCCAGAAGAUCAACUUGAACAACUUAAAAAUAUUCUCGACAUGGGUUCCCGGAUUAAGCGUCCUCCCAUACGUAAGAAUGCCUAUCCUACUAUGUCCCAAAUCAAUCAAUCCCACACACUUAAAUUUUUUUUACCGAAUCUCGGUUAAUUUUUGCCAAGAUCUGCACAACUGAGAUCUCGGCAAAGAUCUCGGUUAAAUUUCUGUUGCUGAAAUCUCGGUUAAAAAAAGCAAAUAACAUUUUAUUCCGACGUUUACGUUUAACCGAGAUUUUCGGUUAGAGCAAAUCAAGAUUUUGGCUAAAUAUAAAAACAAAAUUUUAAUUUUUUUUAAAUUUUAGUGGUUUUAUUUGCGUAUCAAGUGGGUUUAUUUAGGUAACAUAAAUAAAAAAUAUGAUUUACUGGCAGAAAUAGUCAUAGCAGUCUGUGCCCAUGAUGAUGGUCGGUGUACACCUUCUGCAGCAUGAUGCCACCAUCGUGCCCCUUAAUGUAGCAGGACGGCAGGAAGUCACCCUAUUCUUAUGAGAGUUCUGGUGUGAUGGAAAGCGUAGGGACAGGCGCCGGUUCAACCGCUGGAUGGGGCACAGCGUUUGGAUGUGGUACAUGUACAGGAAAUUGAGCCGGGCAAGGAGGGGGCACUGAUACAGGCACGGUUCUGUAAAGCGGGCAGAGUGAAACAAGUCUGAGUGAACCCUGUUUAGAUUUCACGUGGUCGAGUGUUGAUACUUACCUCGUAUUUUUUUUCUUUGGCUCAACAACCGUUGCCGAUCAAGGCCUGCCUGUGCCACUUGUGGGCUUGGCUUUCAGUGACUAAUUGAUUUCGAAAUGAACUAUUUGACAGGUGAAAUAUCUGUCAGAUAACGCAUCACAGCAACCAGCUGAUGUGCAAUGCUAACAAAUAACAUGUACAAAAUCGCAACUAAAUUCAUGAAAUAAUUUCAAUAACAAGUACUUCGUUAAUUUCCAAGCAAUAAUUUAUCAUUUCUUCCAAUUAGGGAAUGUUCUGCUUAUUAAGAUAUUAUUUUUAUGAAAAUGUCGAAAGCGGAUGUUGUGUCACCACCAACCCAUUGGCGUUACCUAUCAGAUAUGUCGCCUGUCAAAUAGUUCAUUUCGCUGUAUAUUUCACCUUGUCUGGCCGCACGGUGAUGGUGCGGGCCGAACCAACUUGAUCCAUCGAUGGCGCUGUUGGAAAAAAAUCCGGCGCGGUUUGAUGCGUUUUCCUGAGGAAUGAUAAAUAUAUCGAGCAUUUUAAAAUGGUGAACAACACUUUUACACUUAAAACUUGCCGUACAGGUAUAUAUUUGACUGAUGCAAUAUGUAAGGUUGCCAACUCUACGGUUAAGUUUCGAGUUUUAUACGGACGUCACACGAAGCGUAAACUUUGGCGUAAACUGGAUUUCAGCCAUACAACCCUGAAAUCUUUUGACAGGAAGUUUACGCUCUCCCAUACAAAUCAAGCGUAAACUUUUUGAGUUUACGCCUCGUGUGACGUCCGUAUAAGACAAGCAGUAGCUCCGUACCUCGUUUCAUUCGUUUUGAUCUUUCAUCAGUUGAUGUUAAUUUUAUAUAGUUAGGUGUGUUGGAAAAUUAAACAAAAAAAAUUAAACCCACAAGUAGUAUUAUUGUCAGAAUAUUUCAACAACCACAACAAGAUUCUUCUUAUUUUUUUUUGUAUACCCUUAGUCGUCGAUUGUUUAACAACAACAUACUGCGUUGACAUCUUUCACGAUUAACUAACCAAUUUUCUAUUAACAUUUAAAGAUUUUCUGGCAAAGAUUUUAAAACAUUAGCAGCACAGCGCGAAAAUAAUUAGCACAAAGCAAAUUUGACUAUGGUCGACCAUAUGGUAAUACGACCAGAGGUAAAAAUUGUGAAAAUCAUAGUUACAAAGUAUUUAAUUUUAUUAUGAUUUCAAUAAUUCAAAAUAUAAUUAAAGCGUUUAUUAGCGCAUUAGCGUUUUCGUUUAACAUUUUAAUUAAUUUGAUUUAUCAUUCAUAGAUAAAACAAAGCUCUCUAUAACCGUGUAUUUACUUUAGCUCUCUAUAACAGCGGUCGGCAAACUUUUAGUCGGCCAAAUUUAGUAAAUGAUCUAAAGCCGCGGGCCAGGAGAAUGCGGUUUUUCUAUUAUUGUGAUUUAUUAAUUACAUUAUAUAAUUUUAGAAACAAAAUAUUUGGUUAAUGAUAUCAGGUAAUGCGAUAGGUAUUAUUGCUGUUUUUCUGUAAUUGUGUCAUCCAAGUAUGGUUCAAAAUUGAUAAUACCUACUUACAUUUGUUUUUAAUAUGCAAAAAUAUAAAUUAUAAAAUUUCGUAUGCGACCUUCAUUUCGAUAGUCUCAUUGUGGUGUUAAAAUAAUGUUAAUAAUAAUAUAGAAAAUGGACAACAACUGUCGAUUUUUUUAUGGGUUUAUCUUAACGCACUACUCUCUCUGUUGUUGGUCUUCUCACGAUAGAGCACGUCGAUGUGACAUGGCUCCGUCAACAAUAAUUCUCCAGGAUGCUCGGUCCCUGGCUGCAGCCUCCCAUCCAUGCAGACACCCGAUCUCCGUCAGGUCUCGCUUCACCCGAUCCAGCCAUUGAGUUCGCUGUGCUCCCCUACGCCUUAUGCCGAACUGGGGAUCGCUGUCGAACACCUUCUUGGUGGGGCAUGAGUCCCGUCAGGAUGCUCGGUUCACCGUACAGCUCAGCAAGCUCGUGGUUCAUCCUUCUCCUCCACGCCCCAUGCUCGAACCCACCGUCAAAGAUGGUCCGGAGGAUGCGUCGCUCUAACACGCCCAGAGCGUUUGCAUCCUCCGCUCGAAUGGUCCACCGAGCGAAUCAAUGUGCGAUACAUCUCACAUUUCGUGUUCGAAGUCUUCUGGAUCUCAGCAGUCGAUGAAGCCCACAAUUUGCACGAUUCCUCUGCACAAUGCGUCUCCGGAUUUCGCUGCUGAUGUCGUUUUCCGAAGUAACGACCGUUCCGAGAUAGCAAUACUCCUUUACUACCUCGAGACUGUCGCCGUCAACUAAUACACUGCUUCCCAGAUGAUCUGAGUCACCGGCAAGCAGGUACUUCGUCUUCGUCGCAUUGUUUCUCAUUGCAUUGAAACCGUUAAUUGCACUUGGAGUAGUAGUAUCCCAUUAGUUAGCAGACAAAAUUUGACACCUCUAUCAGUCGAACUCUAACCAUGAUGGCCAAAAAAGUGAAUCAAAAGCGUGCGCGAUCAAAGAAUGGCACCCCGUAGCGUCCAAAAUCGACUCCGUGCGGAUGUUUUUGGACGUCGUAUAUACCCGUUUUGGCAUUUUGGUCGCCAACAUCUUGGCCAACAUCAGGCAACAAUCAAAGCAUCGAAAGAAAACCCAGGUUCAUUAAGGUUUCAAAAGAAGAUGAAAUGAAGACAGAGAGUCAAGUGGCUACAUUACUGCGUUAGCUGGACCGGGAUAUCGAUGCAACCCACCAAACACUUAAAUAAUACCUGGGAAACAUAGAGAAACAGAUCAGGAAUUAGAAAUCGCAUCCACUGGCUUCGCAGUAGCAAACAAUUACGCAAAAACUCAAUGCAAUCAUUUCAGGUGAAUUUCGACAGAAUUUCGAUAUAACACCCUAGUCCGCAAACUGGUCCAACAUUCGUCACCUGUGCCCCAUCGAUUUUUUUCUACGCCAACGUGAUGCAAGAAAUUUACUCUAACAAUUUUGUAGCGAAAACUUAGGAUGAAUUGAUGAAAAUCGAAGGUAGAACUUAAAUCAUGCAUGUCUUCGUCCACCAUGGUGAAAAUUCCUAAUACUUGACAUAAGGCAAUUCGCAAAGUCUUGAACAUAUUUGUGCAAGUAAUCUGAAAUAAUUCCCUUUGAACAGAUGUAAAUGUAAAGAAAUUAUCUUUCCUAGUUUUUUCCUACAGCCAGUCGAAAAUGGCAUAUUUUUUCAUGCAAAAGUUACGGGGAUAUUGACCUCGAGUUCGAUACAUUGUACUUUUCCAACGUUUAAAUAAACAACUAUGGAAUGAUGGACCGUUUAGUUAAAAGUUGAAAAAGUACGAUGGUUUAAUAUGGUAUACUUAAAGAUCUUCAGUAAUUUGUGUACGAAUUGUUUCUUCCCAUCUUUCAAAAUCAGUCAAAUCCUUUCGCGGGCCGGAUUGAAUGUUGCGACGGGCCGGACUUUGCCGAGCGCUGCUCUAUAACCAUUCGAAUCUGAGCUACUGAAUUCCCUCAAGUGAUAGAAAACCCAUCCAUCGAACCCAUUGUACACACAAAUUAUAUAAUUUUGACAGGAAUUCAAUGGGUUCGCUACUGGCGCAUGGCAUGUGUAAACAGGGAAUAUUACUGAAUUAGAUAUCACUGUAUUAAUAUUCUUGUUGCUACGGGUGUAGCUUUAUGUUUAUUUCAGUUGCUGCUACAGAUUUUUUGUAACUGUCGCUCGCGUAUUUAGGGUUCCGCCGAUCAGUUCAAAAAUUGGUCUGCCUUUUCUUGUCUCUAGUUUGCAACUAAGCGUCUUCAAUGGUGCUUUGUUUUUCACCAGCUGAUCUACUUGACCCUGAGUAACCUCGCUUAGCGACCUUUCUCGAACUUUACCCUUAUUGGUUAUGUUUCUCAACUUAGCCAGUUGUUUCAUAUUUGGGAUAUAUGCCCUAUCCGCAAAAGGCGGUUUUCGCUGCGAUUUACGACCUAGCGAAAACGUUUUUUUCACGAUUUGUAUGGAGCGAAGACACACACCCAAAUUAUGGUCACAAAUUAUGGAUGGAAAGUUAAUGGUUCUGACUUCUGUUUCACUCUCGCUCACAGAGGAUGAUCUCCCGUCGCAUUCUUACAAUCCCACCGGCUCUACAGUUUGGUUGUUGCUGCUCUUUCUCGCACGUGAGGAAGUUUUCUUUCUCCUUGUUUUUCCCGUGUGUGGCAUUGGCUGCGAACGAUCAGUAUCCUCAUAAUCCGUUAGUUAGUUAAAGAAAAAUUGUUAGAAGCAAUGGCUCUGGCACACCAAAUUCUGCACAAAUUCGUGCCCGUUUAUGUGCCACGCUGUACGGAAAACGUUUUGUGAUUAGCACAACCACAAACACAGUAUUAUAAUGUGUGUAGAUUUGGAACAAAUGGUGGUAAACUUUUUAUGCGAACGAGCAGCAAUUAAAUGCCGCAUAUUGUAUGCCCUUUAAACCAAACGGCAGAAUGCUUUUAAUCGUCACUCAUUUGACGCAGUCGAUCAUCACUAAGAGACCGAAUCCUAUGAUCGGUCCUAUGAUACGAGAUCGAUUCUCAUCCGGACCAUUCCCCCGAUAGCAAGAACCGAGUAUCCGAUAGCAUGAUUUAAGUAAGGUUAAGAAGCCGUUUCAGCCCUGUCCACAGUAUUUUUCGUUACGUCAAAGAAGAAGAAAAAAAUUGUAUGGGGAGGCAAUUGGCUUGGUAUGCAGAGGGCAGGGAGCUGUGGGGUCUUAUCGGCCACGGGCUGUGGUUCGACUACGUGGUUCCAAGGAGCGCUGAUAUGUGGUCAGCGGGGCGCCAGGUAGUUUGGAAGGUCGAUUCGUGAGAGCAGCGAUUUGGAAUGGAAUCGCACCUCCCAAAUGAUCCGGAUGGUUCCGACCCGGUAGGUUGACCCGCAUCCAGUUGCGUAUUAGCACGAGUGGAAGCCCUAAACGGACACACGGCGGCAAGUUGAUCAUUCGGAUGUGUCGAGCGAGAAGUUGUAAGAGGAAUUCUAAACCAGUGAAGGAUUGCGAAGCACUUUUAUUUCUGUGUGGGGGGAUGGGUUCCCUUCCUCGAGGCCCCACGUGGCCGCUUGGUUUGCGUACUGGUUGAACCGCCCCUGCCCGCACCUUACUAUUGUUUGCCUGAAGCACGGCAAAUACAGUUUAAAUUUUACAUUUAGUUUACAUUUACAUCCUAAAGCAUACUAGCCAUUUUGAAAAGCAACACGAAUACAAAGGAAAGAAGGGGAAGGGAGUAAGGGAAAGGUGGGCAAACAAUAGCGAAAGGAGGAGCGGGAAAGGUGAUUAUCGAAGAGGUGAGAUGAAAAGAUGAAGGCGUGGGUUGCGUGCAGCAGCGCGCAUUGUUCUGGAGCGACGAUGGGUUCUAAACAAUGGGGGACGAGAGCAAAGCGAGCUGAAGGGAGCAUACAGGAACGGGAAGGACAUACAGGAAGGGAGCUACAUGAAUUUUUUGUAGGUCGAUGUUCUUCCUUCCAGCCACACUUUGGAAAGAAAUUUUGGAUAGUUAGCCCUUGCUACGAGAGACGGUUCGCACGAGGAUUGAACCGAAAACGAGCAUGUUGUUAAUUCGUGCGAGUUGACUUUACCUGUUACUAAUUGGUUUUCCGGGACAGCGGGAUAGCCAGUCCUGGGUCACUAUGGCCACGCAACGGGGCUUGAACCUAGGACGGGUAUGUUGUUGUGUUGUGUCCGGGCAGCACGAUAACGAGGGGCAGCCAAAACCAGCCAAGCCAUCCAUAGAAUGCGGGGACGCGUGGCGUAAUGGAGCAGCUUGACGCGUGGCUCCGGCUGCAUCACCGACAUUAGAGGGAAGGGAGGGGAGAAGGGGCCCGUCCGCCACAGCCAAUCCCCGACCGCAGCCGCGGCGCUAUCGACAAUGCAUGCAGCAUAAACAUCCCUUACGCAUACUGCGUCAAUGGUGAGUGCAGCGACGGGCUAGAACACAACUCUCUAUGCCACCCUCCAAAUAUGGAAACUGUGAUGGAAAACCCAUCCAUCGAACCCAUCGUACACACAAAUUGUAUAAUUUUGACAGGAGUUCAAUGGGUUCGCUACUGGCGCAUGGCAUGUGUAAACAGGAAAUAUUACUGUAUUAGAUAUCACUGUAUUAAUGCUCUUCUUCGUAUUCUUCAUUAAGAGACGACGAAGCGGAAGAAAUAAACUUCAACAAUUAUAUUCAGCAGCACCGUCGUCAACAAGCUGAAAAACAUGGAAAACAAUUCAACAAAUCAUUGUGAAAAUUUCUGUGUAAUAAAUUUCAAUUCCCCGUGCAAAAAUCCA